CCCAAGUAGCUGGGAUUACAGGCACUUGCCACCAUGCCCAGCUAAUUUUUUGUAUUUUUAGUAGAGACGGGGUUUCACCAUGUUGGCCAGGAUGGUCUCGAUCUCUUGACCUCGUGAUCCGCCUGCCUCGGCCUCCCAAAGUCCUGGGAUUACAGGCAUGAGCCACCGCGCCUGGCCGAGUUAAAGUAACUUUCCAAAGAUGCAUGAUUUCCAUGUAAAAAGAAGCGAAUAAUGAUGGGACCACUAUGAAGAAAGCUUCUGAGGACAAAGGCAGCUGGGGAGAUCCCAAGAGGAGACCAAAUAAGGAAAAAUGCAGUUGGCUAGAGAAAUCGGUGAGAAUCAAGACUCUAUGGGUUGAAACCUGGCUCUACUUACUGGCUAUAUAAACUUCAAGCAACUUGUUUAACCUCAGUUUCCUUCGUAAAAUAGGGAUCAUAAUAGCACCUAUCUUACAGGCCUAUUGUGGGGAUAAAGCAUAACACACAUCAAAUACUUAGCUGGCUUCCCUUUGAGUUCUGUUUCCUCUACUGAGGGACAUUAGACACCACCCAUAAAGGAUGGAAGAUGACUUUUUUCCUUUCCUUAAUUUUUGAUGGAGAUUUCAAUCUAGAAGAACCACCCCUAGAUAAAAAAGUUCUAUACACAUCUGUAUUUCAAAAACAUUUUGGCGAGGCACAGUGGCUCAUGCCUGUAA
rnacentral:lncRNA from 10 species